rnacentral:rRNA from 1 species
GACGAACGCUGGCGGCGUGCCUAAUACAUGCAAGUCGAGCGGACGAAUCGAAAGCUUGCUUUUGAUUCGUUAGCGGCGGACGGGUGAGUAACACGUGGGCAACCUGCCCUGUAGACGGGGAUAACACCGAGAAAUCGGUGCUAAUACCGGAUAACACGAAAUGUCGCAUGGCGUUUCGUUGAAAGACGGCGCAAGCUGUCGCUACAGGAUGGGCCCGCGGCGCAUUAGCUAGUUGGUGAGGUAACGGCUCACCAAGGCGACGAUGCGUAGCCGACCUGAGAGGGUGAUCGGCCACACUGGGACUGAGACACGGCCCAGACUCCUACGGGAGGCAGCAGUAGGGAAUCUUCCGCAAUGGACGAAAGUCUGGCGGAGCAACGCCGCGUGAGCGAAGAAGGCCUUCGGGUCGUAAAGCUCUGUUGUUAGGGAAGAACAAGUAACGCAGUAACUGGCGUUACCGUGACGGUACCUAACGAGAAAGCCACGGCUAACUACGUG